UCCUACGGGAGGCAGCAGUGGGGAAUAUUGCACAAUGGAGGAAACCCUGAUGCAGCGACGCCGCGUGAGUGAUGAAGGUUUUCGAGAUCGUAAAGCUCUGUCCUAGAGGGACGAUAAUGACGGUACCUUAGGAGGAAGCCCCGGCUAACUACGUGCCAGCAGCCGCGGUAAUA
rnacentral:rRNA from 1 species